rnacentral:rRNA from 1 species
GACGAACGCUGGCGGCGUGCUUAACACAUGCAAGUCGAACGGAAAGGCCCUGCUUUUGUGGGGUGCUCGAGUGGCGAACGGGUGAGUAACACGUGAGUAACCUGCCCUUGACUGUGGGAUAACUUCAGGAAACUGGGGCUAAUACCGGAUAGGAGCUCCUGCUGCUUGGUGGGGGUUGGAAAGUUUCGGCGGUUUGGGAUGGACUCGCGGCUUAUCAGCUUGUUGGUGGGGUAGUGGCUUACCAAGGCUUUGACGGGUAGCCGGCCUGAGAGGGUGACCGGCCACAUUGGGACUGAGAUACGGCCCAGACUCCUACGGGAGGCAGCAGUGGGGAAUAUUGCACAAUGGGCGGAAGCCUGAUGCAGCAACGCCGCGUGCGGGAUGACGGCCUUCGGGUUGUAAACCGCUUUCGCCUGUGACGAAGCGUGAGUGACGGUAAUGUGUAAAGAAGCACCGGCUAACUACGUG